rnacentral:misc_RNA from 1 species
AACUUUUGACAAUGGAUCACUAGGCUCCCGCAACGAUGAAGAACGCAGUAAUGUGCGAAAAGUGAUGCGAUUUGCAUACUCCUGUGAGUCAUCGAGUCUUUGAACGCAAAUGGCGCUGCCUUGUCAAGAGGCAGCAUGCCUGUUUGAGAGCCGUGUACUAGUUGCCCUCUGUAUGAGGGCAGAAGUGGCCCCGACAGGGUGGAGUCCCUCGUCUCGGCUGGAAUGGAUGGGUGCUGCGCCGAAUGGCAGUGUGACAGGGAUGAUGUUCCAGGUCACUGCCGGUCGGCGAAAGGGGCACCGGGUACAUAACACAACACUAACGGCCUCAAAUCAGGCAAGGGUACCCGCUGAACUUAAGCAUAUCAAUAAGCGGAGGCU